ensembl:lncRNA
CCAGGUGUGCACACAGACGGGUGCAAGUAGCCCAGCUGUGGCAGGUCAGGGAAGGAGCGGGAGGAGAGGCAGGCGAGGCCAAGGCAGAGGCAGGGCGCACAGGGCCCGCGGGCCCAGCAGGUAGCUGACUGACAGCUGAAGGUAGUGCACACGCCGAGGGUUUCAAACAGGAUUCUGCUCCAAUUUUACCAUUGCGUCUUCCUCCCACCUGGACCUUUCAAAGAAGAGGCACUCAAGGAGCGUUCAUUGAUGUGAACUGAAGAGGCCAAACCCACAGCGGGCUACAGACCUACGUGCUAAGAAGAAAGAUCCCCCUUUCCUUUCUCCUCCUCGCUCCCUAACCUGAGCCCCCUUCCUUCCUGCAAGCCCUGCCCUUGGUGAGCUUUCUCUCAGUCGCUUCUCUUAUUCGUGGUCACUCCUGUGCUGUUGAUCGAGCGGCCCUGCAGGGUAGCAGAACUCCUCAGGUUAGGCAGACCUGGGAGCCAGUCCCGGCAGGUUCUGGCACCUUAGGCCACGUCACUUCAGUUCUCCAAGCCUCAGUUCUGUCAUCUUUAAAGGGAAGGUAACAAUACUCACCAGUAUCCAUCCUCCUCUUCUUCCUUUUAUGAUAGAACCGCCAACCCAUUUUACUGGGCACGUGCGGCCACCAUGUAGAGGCAGCAUUUCCCAGCCUCGUUUGCAGCUUCUGAGAGUCAUGUGACUCCGCUCAGAGCAAUGGGACACAGCAGAAGCGAAAUGUGCAACUUUCGAGUCACUCCUUAAAGACAGGAUCAGUUAUUUGCCAUGGGACCUCUUUCAUUCUUUCCGCAGGCUGGGAAGUGGAAACAACCAGAACAGGCACAAAGCCACCCCAUGCAGAUGACAGACUGACCUCCCAGCUGGGUUCCUGGAUGCCCUGGACCACUUACUCCUCCGGCAGAACAGGGAAGGCCCACCCGCUCACCUCUGGACCACAGCAUAAGAGAGGAGGAGACACCCGCUUCCGUUAGACCCCGCAUCCCUGAGCCCUCCGUGCACCAGCUCCGUCUGGACCUUCUGCAGCCCACAGCCUUACUUUGGAGAUUGCAGAUACCACAUCCAAGCUACUAGACACAGUGGAUCUGUGGUUAGUGGAUACUAACAGAUUUUAACGAUUGCCCAGGGGACUCAAGUUUCUGAAGAAUUUCACACUUUAACAUCCAACUUGACUUCUGCCCCCAGGAUGUGAGGCAGGAACUAUCACCAUCCCUACUUUACAAACGAGGAAGCUGAGGCUUUCAGAGAGAAGAGUUCGGAACAGUCUCCAAGGAGGCGUCAGACCUGAAAAGCUGCCAGGGAGGCACUGCAGAAUCAGUGCCGCAAAGGCUCACGCUGACUGCGAGGGAACGACAAGAAACGCCCUGCCUGCUGCAUCAGGGAGCAAGUCUCGCCUCCACGUUUUACAAAUACCUGCUGCCCACCUACAUGCCCCAGGUUGCUGGACAGCAGAAACACGGGCUCCACACUAUCCCUUCCAUCCUCCACAACCCUCGGCUUCCCCAUUAGGCCCUCAGACACACAGACUCCUUCCUCCUUCCACUCCCCCUCAAAAAGUCCCACAUAUUAGCUCCAGCAAACAGAGCCCCAGGAGGAUCCCACGGCUUGGUUCUGCCACCAGCCAGACUCCAGGGCACGCUCCGGCUCGGCAGCAUCAGCCCUGCCCUCUGCUGCCCUAAGGAAAAUCUUUGCAGAGCCUUAGUGAGGCCUCCACCUCUAAGGGUGGACGGAUGGGGACACUUAGAUCCAGGGCCCCAGCUACUCCGAUUUUCCACUCUUGACUCACAGUGCCCUGCCCAGAAAGGCCUUUGGGCCCGACUACCCGUGGUUCAGAAGGCCAGAAUUCAGGAGAUGUGUUUGCAUGUGCGAAGUGAGCCAACGAAUGGAAACUCUGGCCCCACCUAGAG